rnacentral:rRNA from 1 species
GGCUGGACCUCUCGGGGUUACAGCCUUGCUGAAUUAUUCACCCUUGUCUUUUGCGUACUUCUUGUUUCCUUGGUGGGUUCGCCCACCACUAGGACAAACAUAAACCUUUUGUAAUUGCAAUCAGCGUCAGUAACAAAUUAAUAAUUACAACUUUCAACAACGGAUCUCUUGGUUCUGGCAUCGAUGAAGAACGCAGCGAAAUGCGAUAAGUAGUGUGAAUUGCAGAAUUCAGUGAAUCAUCGAAUCUUUGAACGCACAUUGCGCCCUUUGGUAUUCCAAAGGGCAUGCCUGUUCGAGCGUCAUUUGUACCCUCAAGCUUUGCUUGGUGUUGGGCGUCUUGUCUCUAGCUUUGCUGGAGACUCGCCUUAAAGUAAUUGGCAGCCGGCCUACUGGUUUCGGAGCGCAGCACAAGUCGCACUCUCUAUCAGCAAAGGUCUAGCAUCCAUUAAGCCUUUUUUUCAACUUUUGACCUCGGAUCAGGUAGGGAUACCCGCUGAACUUAAGCAUAUCAAUAGGC